CACUCUACCAACUGAUCUAUAUCCCCAGUCCCUGGUUAGGUUUUUUGAUUAUACCAUGCUGUGUGGCAACAUAGCCCAAUUUAGAAGGGGUUUGGAGGAGCUUCUGGUUUUUCACAGAUGUUCCUGAAGUUCUCCAGAGAGGUCAGCAGGGGGCUCCAUUCUCUGUGUUCAUUAGUACUUGCGCAGUGUGGACUAGAGACAGGUUUUGGGGACAAGGAAAGUCGAGAGAGCCUAGCAUUCAAUGUCAAUCAUGGGCUCCCUGGGAUCCUCCUGCCACCAACUAAUCUGGGAUCCCCAUGGAGGAGGGACAUUUGACAUCAACCUGGAGUCCGUUGGAGACUGGAGGAAAGCCUGCCAAGGUGUAAUGCCAAGCACUCCAUCUACGUGCAGGAGCCCCGGCUGAUCCAAAAUCGUGUCUCUACUGCCUGAGAUCAAUGUGACUGGGUCCUCCAACUCUCCGUAUCCAUGACAACAACUAGUAUCUAUCAUGUAUCAAGAAUCUUGAGGGGGGCUGGGGAUGUGGCUCAAGUGGUGGCGCGCUCGCCUGGCAUGUGUGCGGCCCGGGUUCGAUCCUCAGCACCACAUACAAACAAAGAUGCUGUGUCCGCCCAUAACUGAAAAAUAAAUAUUAAAAAAAUUUUC